GUCCUUCACUUCUCAUCUUCUUGAUGGUUCUGCUAAAGAGAAGAGGAAACGGGGAGGCGGUUAUGCAGAAAAUAAAUUCCCUCUAGAGGAUGCAAUUACCUCAGAAGCUACCGUGGAUGAAGGUGACGAUGGGAAACUUUUAACGCCUGAACCUACAGAUGAUGGUGAUGAGAUUGUUCUUGAUAGCAAGGAUGAAAAGAGAAAGAAAAAGAGAGAGAGAAAGCAAGUCGAUGAUCUUCGGUUUGAAAUGGAGAAGACAAAAACCAGUGAGAAAAGGCGGGAGCGCAAGAAAAAGUAUAUGGAAGCAAAGAAGAAGAAACGCCAAAAAUCCAAAAUAGAAGAGAAUUUGGACUUUCCUGGACGUGAACAGAUAAAAUUUGGAGAUGUUGUCCAAGCUCCACCAAAAUUGGUUGCUGUUCCUAAGGUUCUGAAGAAUGCCCCAGAUGCUUCACAAGAAAGGGUUCGGUUACGGGCUAUUGAGGAAUACAGGAAACGCAAAGGAUGGACCUCUAGACCAGGGCUUCAACUUCCUACUGUGACUGCUACACAUUUGUUGUAAUUGGUCGGAUCCUAUUGCUUCUUAUGUCAAUGUCUCUUUAUGUUUGUAGGACCAUCACAUCUUAAUGUAGGG
rnacentral:misc_RNA from 1 species